GGUUAAGCGACUAAGCGUACACGGUGGAUGCCCUGGCAGUCAGAGGCGAUGAAGGACGUGCUAAUCUGCGAAAAGCGUCGGUAAGGUGAUAUGAACCGUUAUAGCCGGCGAUGUCCGAAUGGGGAAACCCAGUGCAAUUCGUUGCACUAUCGUUAACUGAAUACAUAGGUUAACGAGGCGAACCGGGGGAACUGAAACAUCUAAGUACCCCGAGGAAAAGAAAUCAACCGAGAUUCCCCCAGUAGCGGCGAGCGAACGGGGAGCAGCCCAGAGUCUGAAUCAGCUUGUGUGUUAGUGGAACGGUCUGGAAAGUCCGACGGUACAGGGUGAUAGUCCCGUACACCAAAAUGCACAGGCUGUGAACUCGAAGAGUAGGGCGGGACACGUGGUAUCCUGUCUGAAUAUGGGGGGACCAUCCUCCAAGGCUAAAUACUCCUGACUGACCGAUAGUGAACCAGUACCGUGAGGGAAAGGCGAAAAGAACCCCGGCGAGGGGAGUGAAAAAGAACCUGAAACCGUGUACGUACAAGCAGUGGGAGCACCUUCGGGUGUGACUGCGUACCUUUUGUAUAAUGGGUCAGCGACUUAUAUUCUGUAGCAAGGUUAACCGUAUAGGGGAGCCGCAGGGAAACCGAGUCUUAACUGGGCGUUAAGUUGCAGGGUAUAGACCCGAAACCCGGUGAUCUAGCCAUGGGCAGGUUGAAGGUUGGGUAACACUAACUGGAGGACCGAACCGACUAAUGUUGAAAAAUUAGCGGAUGACUUGUGGCUGGGGGUGAAAGGCCAAUCAAACCGGGAGAUAGCUGGUUCUCCCCGAAAGCUAUUUAGGUAGCGCCUCGUGAACUCAUCUUCGGGGGUAGAGCACUGUUUCGGCUAGGGGGUCAUCCCGACUUACCAACCCGAUGCAAACUACGAAUACCGAAGAAUGUUAUCACGGGAGACACACGGCGGGUGCUAACGUCCGUCGUGAAGAGGGAAACAACCCAGACCGCCAGCUAAGGUCCCAAAGUCAUGGUUAAGUGGGAAACGAUGUGGGAAGGCACAGACAGCCAGGAUGUUGGCUUAGAAGCAGCCAUCAUUUAAAGAAAGCGUAAUAGCUCACUGGUCGAGUCGGCCUGCGCGGAAGAUGUAACGGGGCUAAACCAUGCACCGAAGCUGCGGCAGCGACACUAUGUGUUGUUGGGUAGGGGAGCGUUCUGUAAGCCUGCGAAGGUGACCUGUGAGGGUUGCUGGAGGUAUCAGAAGUGCGAAUGCUGACAUAAGUAACGAUAAAGCGGGUGAAAAGCCCGCUCGCCGGAAGACCAAGGGUUCCUGUCCAACGUUAAUCGGGGCAGGGUGAGUCGACCCCUAAGGCGAGGCCGAAAGGCGUAGUCGAUGGGAAACAGGUUAAUAUUCCUGUACUUGGUGUUACUGCGAAGGGGGGACGGAGAAGGCUAUGUUAGCCGGGCGACGGUUGUCCCGGUUUAAGCAUGUAGGCUGGUUAUCCAGGCAAAUCCGGAUAAUCAAGGCUGAGGUGUGAUGACGAGGCACUACGGUGCUGAAGUAACAAAUGCCCUGCUUCCAGGAAAAGCCUCUAAGCAUCAGGUAACAUCAAAUCGUACCCCAAACCGACACAGGUGGUCAGGUAGAGAAUACCAAGGCGCUUGAGAGAACUCGGGUGAAGGAACUAGGCAAAAUGGUGCCGUAACUUCGGGAGAAGGCACGCUGGUGUGUAGGUGAAGCCCCUGCGGGUGGAGCUGAGACCAGUCGAAGAUACCAGCUGGCUGCAACUGUUUAUUAAAAACACAGCACUGUGCAAACACGAAAGUGGACGUAUACGGUGUGACGCCUGCCCGGUGCCGGAAGGUUAAUUGAUGGGGUUAUCCGUAAGGAGAAGCUCUUGAUCGAAGCCCCGGUAAACGGCGGCCGUAACUAUAACGGUCCUAAGGUAGCGAAAUUCCUUGUCGGGUAAGUUCCGACCUGCACGAAUGGCGUAAUGAUGGCCAGGCUGUCUCCACCCGAGACUCAGUGAAAUUGAACUCGCUGUGAAGAUGCAGUGUAUCCGCGGCAAGACGGAAAGACCCCGUGAACCUUUACUAUAGCUUGACACUGAACAUUGAGCCUUGAUGUGUAGGAUAGGUGGGAGGCUUUGAAGCGUGGACGCCAGUCUGCGUGGAGCCAACCUUGAAAUACCACCCUUUAAUGUUUGAUGUUCUAACGUUGGCCCCUUACCGGGGUUGCGGACAGUGUCUGGUGGGUAGUUUGACUGGGGCGGUCUCCUCCCAAAGCGUAACGGAGGAGCACGAAGGUUAGCUAAUCCUGGUCGGACAUCAGGAGGUUAGUGCAAUGGCAUAAGCUAGCUUGACUGCGAGCGUGACGGCGCGAGCAGGUGCGAAAGCAGGUCAUAGUGAUCCGGUGGUUCUGAAUGGAAGGGCCAUCGCUCAACGGAUAAAAGGUACUCCGGGGAUAACAGGCUGAUACCGCCCAAGAGUUCAUAUCGACGGCGGUGUUUGGCACCUCGAUGUCGGCUCAUCACAUCCUGGGGCUGAAGUAGGUCCCAAGGGUAUGGCUGUUCGCCAUUUAAAGUGGUACGCGAGCUGGGUUUAGAACGUCGUGAGACAGUUCGGUCCCUAUCUGCCGUGGGCGCUGGAGAAUUGAGGGGGGCUGCUCCUAGUACGAGAGGACCGGAGUGGACGCAUCACUGGUGUUCGGGUUGUCAUGCCAAUGGCACUGCCCGGUAGCUAAAUGCGGAAGAGAUAAGUGCUGAAAGCAUCUAAGCACGAAACUUGCCCCGAGAUGAGUUCUCCCUGAGACUUUAAGUCUCCUGAAGGAACGUUAAAGACGAUGACGUUGAUAGGCCGGGUGUGUAAGCGCAGCGAUGCGUUGAGCUAACCGGUACUAAUGAACCGUGAGGCUUAACCUU
rnacentral:rRNA from 1 species